UGGGGAAUAUUGCACAAUGGGCGCAAGCCUGAUGCAGCCAUGCCGCGUGUGUGAAGAAGGCCUUCGGGUUGUAAAGCACUUUCAGCGAGGAGGAAGGUGGUGAACUUAAUACGUUCAUCAAUUGACGUUACUCGCAGAAGAAGCACCGGCUAACUCCGUGCCAGCAGCCGCGGUAAUACGGAGGGUGCAAGCGUUAAUCGGAAUUACUGGGCGUAAAGCGCACGCAGGCGGUUUGUUAAGUCAGAUGUGAAAUCCCCCGGGGCUCAACCUGGGAACUGCAUUUGAAACUGGCAAGCUAGAGUCUCGUAGAGGGGGGUAGAAUUCCAGGUGUAGCGGUGAAAUGCGUAGAGAUCUGGAGGAAUACCGGUGGCGAAGGCGGCCCCCUGGACGAAGACUGACGCUCAGGCUGCGAAAGCGUGGGGCAGCAAACAGGAUUAGAUACCCUGGUAGUCCACGCUGUAAACGAUGUCGAUUUUGGAGGUUGUGCCCUUGAGGCGUGGCUUCCGGAGCUAACGCGUUAAAGUCGACCGCCUGGGGAG
rnacentral:rRNA from 1 species